rnacentral:tRNA from 1 species
AGGCCUGUGGUGUAACGGUAAGCAUAGGAGGCUCUAACCCUCUUGAUACUCGUUCGAGUCGAAGUCGGGCCUG